GGUUUGAUUAUGGCUCAGGACGAACGCUGGCGGCGUGCCUAAUACAUGCAAGUCGAACGAACUCUGGUAUUGAUUGGUGCUUGCAUCAUGAUUUACAUUUGAGUGAGUGGCGAACUGGUGAGUAACACGUGGGAAACCUGCCCAGAAGCGGGGGAUAACACCUGGAAACAGAUGCUAAUACCGCAUAACAACUUGGACCGCAUGGUCCGAGCUUGAAAGAUGGCUUUGGCUAUCACUUUUGGAUGGUCCCGCGGCGUAUUAGCUAGAUGGUGGGGUAACGGCUCACCAUGGCAAUGAUACGUAGCCGACCUGAGAGGGUAAUCGGCCACAUUGGGACUGAGACACGGCCCAAACUCCUACGGGAGGCAGCAGUAGGGAAUCUUCCACAAUGGACGAAAGUCUGAUGGAGCAACGCCGCGUGAAUGAAGAAGGGUUUCGGCUCGUAAACUCUGUUGUUAAAGAAGAACAUAUCUGAGAGUAACUGUUCAGGUAUUGACGGUAUUUAACCAGAAAGCCACGGCUAACUACGUGCCAGCAGCCGCGGUAAUACGUAGGUGGCAAGCGUUGUCCGGAUUUAUUGGGCGUAAAGCGAGCGCAGGCGGUUUUUUAAGUCUGAUGUGAAAGCCUUCGGCUCAACCGAAGAAGUGCAUCGGAAACUGGGAAACUUGAGUGCAGAAGAGGACAGUGGAACUCCAUGUGUAGCGGUGAAAUGCGUAGAUAUAUGGA
rnacentral:rRNA from 1 species